GAUGAACGCUGGCGGCGUGCCUAAUACAUGCAAGUCCAGCGAACAGACGAGGAGCUUGCUCCUCUGACGUUAGCGGCGGACGGGUGAGUAACACGUGGAUAACCUACCUAUAAGACUGGGAUAACUUCGGGAAACCGGAGCUAAUACCGGAUAAUAUAUUGAACCGCAUGGUUCAAUAGUGAAAGACGGUUUUGCUGUCACUUAUAGAUGGAUCCGCGCCGCAUUAGCUAGUUGGUAAGGUAACGGCUUACCAAGGCAACGAUGCGUAGCCGACCUGAGAGGGUGAUCGGCCACACUGGAACUGAGACACGGUCCAGACUCCUACGGGAGGCAGCAGUAGGGAAUCUUCCGCAAUGGGCGAAAGCCUGACGGAGCAACGCCGCGUGAGUGAUGAAGGUCUUCGGAUCGUAAAACUCUGUUAUUAGGGAAGAACAAAUGUGUAAGUAACUAUGCACGUCUUGACGGUACCUAAUCAGAAAGCCACGGCUAACUACGUG
rnacentral:rRNA from 1 species